rnacentral:piRNA from 1 species
UCCCGGCCAAUGCAAAGAGAACU